UCCUGUGGCGAAGGCGCCCGGCUGAAACGGGUCCGACGGUGAGGGACGAAGGCCAGGGGAGCGAACCGGAUUAGAUACCCGGGUAGUCCUGGCUGUAAACGAUGCGGGCUAGGUGUCACCAGAGCCACGAGCUCCGGUGGUGCCGGAGGGAAGCCGUUAAGCCCGCCGCCUGGGAAGUACNGCCGCAAGGCUGAAACUUAAAGGAAUUGGCGGGGGAGCACUACAACGGGUGGAGCCUGCGGUUCAAUUGGAUUCAACGCCGGGAAGCUUACCGGGGGAGACAGCUGGAUGAAGGUCGGGCUGAAGACCCUACCAGACUAGCUGAGAGGUGGUGCAUGGCCGCCGUCAGUUCGUACUGUGAAGCAUCCUGUUAAGUCAGGCAACGAGCGAGACCCGCGCCCUCAGUUGCCAGCGGAUCCCUUCGGGGAUGCCGGGCACACUGAGGGGACUGCCGGCGCUAAGCCGGAGAAAGGUGCGGGCAACGGCAGGUCCGUAUGCCCCGAAUCCCCCGGGCUACACGCGGGCUACAAUGGCCGGGACAAUGGGUGCCGACCCCGAAAGGGGUAGGUAAUCCCCUAAACCCGGUCUAACCUGGGAUCGAGGGCUGCAACNNNGCCCUCGUGAACCUGGAGUCCGU
rnacentral:rRNA from 1 species